rnacentral:rRNA from 1 species
AGGGUUUGAUCCUGGCUCAGAGCGAACGCUGGCGGCGUGCUUAACACAUGCAAGUCGAACGAACGUAAGUGAGUGGCGAAAGGGUGAGUAAUGCAUAGAUAACCUACCCUUGGGACGGGGAUAACUCAGGGAAACCCGAGCUAAUACCCGAUAUGACUACGAUGUCACCUGGCAACGUGGUAAAAUGCUCCGACGCCCAAGGAGGGGUCUGUGUCCUACCAGCUAGUUGGUGAGGUAAUGGCUCACCAAGGCAUCGACGGGUAGCAGGUCUGAGAGGAUGGUCUGCCACACUGGGACUGAGACACUGCCCAGACUCCUACGGGAGGCUGCAGUGGGGAAUUUUGGGCAAUGAGCGAAGGCUUGACCCAGCGACGCCGCGUGCACGAAGAAGGCCUUCGGGUUGUAAAGUGCUGUCACGGGGUAAGAAAGGAACCUUCGGGUUCUUGACGUUCCCUCGAGAGGAAGCUCUGGCUAAACACGUGCCAGCAGCCGCGGUAAUACGUGUAGAGCUAGCGUUGCUCGGAUUCACUGGGCUUAAAGGGUGUGUAGGCGGCUUUGUAAGUAAGGUGUGAAAUACUACGGCUUAACCGUAGAAUUGCGCUUUAUACUGCAAAGCUAGAGUGCUGGAGAGGAUGGCGGAAUUCUGGGUGUAGCGGUGAAAUGCAUAGAUAUCCAGGAGAACGCCGGUGACGAAGGUGGCCAUCUGGCCGGUAACUGACGCUGAAACACAAAAGCCAGGGGAGCGAACGGGAUUAGAUACCCCGGUAGUCCUGGCCCUAAACGAUGUGCACUUGGUGGUGGGAAUACUAGAUUUUCAUUGCCGUAGCGAAAGCGUUAAGUGCACCGCCUGGGGAGUACGCUCGCAAGGGUAAAACUCAAAGGAAUUGGCGGGAGCUUACACAAGCGGUGGAGCAUGUUGUUUAAUUCGAUCCUACGCGAGGAACCUUACCCGGGUUUGACAUGUAUGUGGUAAUAAGCCGAAAGGUAUGUGACCUUGCUUUUGUAAGGAGCAUACACAGGUGCUGCAUGGCUGUCGUCAGCUCGUGUCGUGAGAUGUCGCGUAAAGUCGCUUAACGAGCGCAACCCUUGCUCUUAGUUGCCAGCGAGUAAUGUCGGGGACUCUAGGAGGACUGCCGGUGUCAAACCGGAGGAAGGUGGGGACGACGUCAAGUCAUCAUGGCCCUUACGCCCGGGGCUACAAACGUGCUACAAUGACAGGUACAAAGGGAUGCGAAACCGUGAGGUCAAGCAAACCCCAAAAAGCCUGCCCCAGUUCGGAUUGGAGGCUGAAACUCGCCUCCAUGAAGGUGGAAUCGCUAGUAAUCGCGGAUCAGCAAUGCCGCGGUGAAUCCGUUCCUAAGCUUUGUACACACCGCCCGUCAAGCCACGAAAGUCGGGAGCGCCUGAAGUCGCUAGCCUAACCGCAAGGAGGGCGGCGCCCACGGUGAGACCGGUAAUUGGGACUAAGUCGAAACAAGGUA